rnacentral:rRNA from 1 species
GUGUACCCGCGGCUAGACGGAAAGACCCCGUGAACCUUUACUAUAGCUUGACACUGAACAUUGAGCCUUGAUGUGUAGGAUAGGUGGGAGGCUUUGAAGCGUGGACGCCAGUCUGCGUGGAGCCAACCUUGAAAUACCACCCUUUAAUGUUUGAUGUUCUAACGUUGGCCCCUGACCGGGGUUGCGGACAGUGUCUGGUGGGUAGUUUGACUGGGGCGGUCUCCUCCCAAAGCGUAACGGAGGAGCACGAAGGUUAGCU